rnacentral:rRNA from 1 species
UUGGAGGGCAAGUCUGGUGCCAGCAGCCGCGGUAAUUCCAGCUCCAAUAGCGUAUAUUAAAGUUGUUGCAGUUAAAAAGCUCGUAGUUGAAUUUCGGGAUUGACGUGAUGGUCAUGCCUUAAGGGGUAUGAACUGUUACUGUUGAUUUCUCACCUUCUGGAGAAACUUGAUGUCCUUUAUUGGGUGUCUUGCGGAUCCAGGACCCUUACCUUGAAAAAAUUAGAGUGUUUAAAGCAGGCAUUUUUGCUCGAAUACAUUAGCAUGGAAUAAUAGAAUAGGACGGCAUGGUUCUAUUUUGUUGGUUUCUAGGAUCACCGUAAUGAUUAAUAGGGAUAGUUGGGGGCAUUAGUAUUCAAUUGUCAGAGGUGAAAUUCUUGGAUUUAUUGAAGACUAACUACUGCGAAAGCAUUUGCCAAGGAUGUUUUCAUUAAUCAAGAACGAAAGUUAGGGGAUCGAAGACGAUCAGAUACCGUCGUAGUCUUAACCAUAAACUAUGCCGACUAGGGAUCGGACGGUGUUAGUAUUUUGACCCGUUCGGCACCCUAUGGGAAACCAAAG